rnacentral:siRNA from 1 species
UAUCAGGUUCCAUUUUACUCC